rnacentral:lncRNA from 1 species
CCUGGCUCUUCUUUGAGGACCACCUUAGGCAUGCUCCCACCCCUUGGCUAAAGAAAAUAAUGCGGACUCCACUCAGUUUUCUUUAGCUGUAUAGUUAUCUGGGAAAACUCCCCCCUUUAGACUUCAGCAGUUAAAGGAAUAUUUGGAAUACCAAAGUAUUUUUUGCAGUUGUUUUUGUGAUCUCAAUUCUCCCCUGCCUCUAAAAAAAUUAAUCAGAAGUUGAAUCCAUCUGGUCUCAGGAUUGGAAAGCUAUUCUCUAAGCAGAUCAAAGAUGUUUAUUAAAAUUCAAUUCUUCAUCUUCGUUCUAGGGAGCGUGCCUUUCAUAGCACUUGCUGAAGAAGCAAGCUCAGUUCUAGAAGAAGAAGAAAGUGCAACAAUUGAUUUCAGAGACAGAAAUGACACAGAAUUUGAAGAAUUACCAACCCUGUUGCCCACAAGACUACACAAUGUAACAAAUCUCUUGCAGUUUGGACAACUGAUGACCACAGAAAGUGCAUUUGCCCCAGCUGAAGACAGUGAUAAUUCUACUGGUUAUGAAGUUAACACAGAAAAUGUUGAUGGUAGACCAAGUGGGGAACCAGAGAAAACUGAAAAAGGUGGUCUGGAAACAAUUGCUCUGGUUGGAAUAAUUAUUGGAAUCAUAGUGGCAGUUGGAAUCCUUGCAGGAAUAAUCAUCGCUGUUGUAAGGAAGAUGUCAGGCAGGCCCUAAAAAUAGUUGAAACAAGCAACCAUGCCGUUCUACACCAGAAAAUACAAGUGCUUCUUAUUUUAUAAGAACUAAAGACUAUUCCUGUAUUGGUGUGAGAAGAUGAUCCAUGGAAAAUAUGGUUGAAGAACUCCAAAUCUAUGGGGAUCCCACACAACUCUUAAGGACUCUUCCCCUUCCCCCCCCUCCCCAGACUACAGAGUAUGGAACAUUUCAUAGGAUUUUUACUAACCAGGAGUUUACUGGAAGAAAGAAAAAGAUUAUGCAGUAAGAAAAAACCCAGCAGCAAUGAGAUUUACAUCUGAAAUGUGAUUUGCAGGUAAUAUAUAUGCUAGCUUGAUUUUUAAAUGCUACCAAAGAUUAUUUCACAUUACAUUUUAUGUAUUUCUUUAAAAAAACAUAUCCAGAAUCUUUUAAGUGGUUUUGGCUGGUUAAGUGCUUGUGGCAUGUUUAUCUGCCAACAAUGUAUCAAAAAGGAGGAAUUAGCUUCAGAGAGCACCAAAUAUUUACAAAUUUAGAAAAUAUUAGAUAUCAGAAGCUAAAAUCCUUCCACUGUUGAUACAGAUUUUCUCCUCUUGAUGCUUAUGUUAUUAUGUGGCAAAACAUGGUAGGCCCAGCUGGAACUGACCUACCAACUGAGAGCUUGCUCAUCUGACUGUUGCACCAGGAAUUUCCUGUCUUCUCUUGUUGCAGAGACAUGCAGGGAUUAAAAUACACAUCCUGAAUUAAAGGGUGCUUGGAAAAUACCCAAUUUUGAUGGGUCACUUUAACCAGUUACUCAGCACGCUUUAAAACCAACAUGUAGAAGCUUUUGAAUUAGUAUAUACAUUUUUUUUUCCUGUAUAACCGUCUCGUUUUCUAACUGUAUAGUUGGCUUGUUUGGUAAAUGUGUGCAACACUACAUCAGAAUACGUUAAAGGGGUAUAAUGCAUCUUUGGAGUCUACAGCUUUUCUGUGGCAUACUUAGUGCAGCAGUACCUGAAUGCACAGAGUUCAGAGCAAAGGCUUUGUAUGUCAGGUGGCUGCAGUGCAUCAUGUUUUCUAAACUUUAGAGGCACUUAAGUGUUUGGUGUAAAAAUCACGAUAAUCCAUAUGGUCAAUAAUUACUAAAUAUGUCAAUUUAUCUAGAUUUGCUUUUCUAUUUCUUUCAUGUGCCAUAAACUAUCAUACCAAUCUGAGCUUUGGAAAUAAAAAUUAUGAUGUAAAUUGUCUUAUUUUACAAUAAUUGUUCUUUAUUUUCUUUAAAAAAACCUUAUAAAAUGUUUUAAACUUGCCUCAAUUUUCCUAGCUUAUUUUGCUACUUGUCUUAUCAGUGAAGUGUCUAAACCAACUCAUUUGACACCGAUAAAUGAAGCUAUCAUCAAAACUAAUCAUGUCAGAAAAAAUAAUUUAGCAGUCUUUUUGGUGCAGUUCUCAAGCUCAGGUAACAGGGCACUCAGUCUGUGAUGACCGAUGACUACCAAGCUUUAUCUUCAGACUGGUCUAUGCUGAGAACUGCAGACUAGAUCCAAAGGCUGCAAUUUCUAGGUACAGGCAUGCUUUUUUUGUGUCAUCUAUAAAAAGAAACUAGUUUCCUGAAGUCUGAAUUUAGACUUCUUUGUCAAGCUCAGAAUUCAAGCAUAUUUGGAUACAAGGUUUUGGUUUGUAGCUUGCUGUCAGUAAAUAUAGUUGUCUCUGAAUUGCUGAGUUUAUACUCCUAGGAAUACUUUACCUGGAGCAGUCAUUCUCUCUUCCUUACCAGACAAAGAUUCUAAACUCCAGUUUUCCCACAGGAAUGACUUUCCCCUUGAAUAACUAUUCCCAUCACAUUACAAGCAGUAUCCACAGGUAGGCAAUUUAUAAUAAAAUUGAAAUACACCUUAAAUCUUUUACCUUGUUUUGAAGGUCUCUUCUGAUAAAACACAAUCAAGGUUGUUAAGUGUAGAGAGUGAAAUUUUUGAGUAUGCAUGCACCCACACAAGGAUGCAACUAACAUUAUGGAAUUUGCCACGUGUUUGCAUUUAAAUACUAAUCCCAUGCAGUGCAGCCUCAGAGCAUAUGCAUCCCAGAAUUGGUCUACAGUAGUACAGUACCAUGGAAUAAUACAUUCAUAUCUCACCUCCAGCAUAAUCUCAUUUGGUUUAUUUCUGCUUACACUCAAAAGCUGCAUAAAACUAAAGGGAAAAAUUAAUGAUACCACCGUACAAAGUCAUGUAUGUACUAUAUAAAAAUUUGUAACAAGUUUAAGCCUAGUGUGUAUCUUAAGUCAGUUCUUUACUAAUGCUAAGUUGGUUUGGGAUGUUUUUAAAGCAUAAAAUCCAAGGCACAGAAGUGGGCUUGAAGUAGGCUACAAAGUUUUUACUACCUUUAUCACCACCGUGGGAC